CAGGGCCCCAUAGAACCUUGCCUUAAACACCUCUGGGGAUGGGACAUCCACAACCCCUCUGGGCAACCUAUUCCAGAACCACACUACUCUCAGUAAAAAACUUCUCUGACAUCUCUCAUAUUCAUAAGCAUAAGAGUUUUUCGUGAUUGAAGAGAAUAUAUAUAUAUUUGCAAUCUUACAUGACAUUGAGAGUUUCAAUCGUCUAACAGAAUUACAUCAAAAUAUAUGUACAGUCACAGUUUGAACAUUUUUGUAGAUAAAUUUUUGAAGUAAUUACUUAUCCUUCUUCUUAAUCAGACCAAUAUACUAUUUAUUUUACCUAACCUGUCUUGAAGAUUGAUUAAAGUAUCCAGCUGUUAUAAUCUCAGUUUUUAUAAGACCUACCAUUUAUUACAUCAUGUGAUUUCCUGCAAUGGAAACAAAUGAAUAUUAUUAUCUCAUACUUUAUAUUUAAGAAAUAGAAAGUUUUUAAGCUAUUCCUGUGUACUUUGAUUCAUAGAAGAUACAGAAUAAAGUGAUUCCCU
rnacentral:lncRNA from 1 species